CAUGGCCUCUUGCAACCCGCAAAUAAGAGGUCCAACCUGCCCAGUGACAAUAAGUUUAACGGCCGCGGUAUUUUAACCGUGCUAAGGUAGCGUAAUCACUUGUCUUUUAAAUGAAGACCCGUAUGAAAGGUGUCACGAGGGCCCUCCUGUCUCCUACUUCAAGUCUAUGAAAUUGAUCUGCCCGUGCAGAAGCGGGCAUACCCCCAUAAGACGAGAAGACCCUGUGGAGCUUAAGACUAUAACCAAUCAUGCCUAGUAACCUAUCCACCAAAUGGCACAAAAGGUCCAAUAAGCUUAAUGACAAUGGUUUACUGUCUUCGGUUGGGGCGACCAUGGGGGACAGAAAAGCCCCCAAGAAGAAGCAGGGGACCAAUUACACCGAUCCCUAAGAGUCAAGAGCUACAACUCUAAACAACAGAAAUAUCUGACUAAUAAUGAUCCAGGUAACAAACCUGAUCAACGGACCAAGUUACCCCAGGGAUAACAGCGCAAUCCUUUCCCAGAGCCCAUAUCGCCGAAAGGGUUUACGACCUCGAUGUUGGAUCAGGACAUCCUGGUGGCGAAAAUUCUACCAAGGGUUCGUUUGUUCAACGAUUAAAGUCCUACGUGAU
rnacentral:rRNA from 1 species